rnacentral:ncRNA from 1 species
UAACCUCUGGUAUUUACGAAUGUUG